rnacentral:lncRNA from 1 species
CUCUGAGGAAUGAAGCGUGCUUGCUUCCCAGCAGAGAGAGCAGGGCAGUCAAAAUCCCCCACAGGCACAUUGUUUCUAUGGUUUCAAGUUGCAGGCUGAGUAUAAAUUGGUCAGGAAACAGGUGCUGAUGAUGGGGUGUGCAGCAUAGGAACUUGGUAGCCAUUCAAAACAAGCACAGCAAGACAGCUGCUGUGCUGGGUCCGCUGCCCAUCAUGGUGACUGCUGCUCUCGCUGUUCCUUUGCACACUCUUGCUAUUUCCAUCUGUUAACUUCAUUUGCAAACUGCAAAGGCCAGAGACCAUGUUGUUUUUAUCUGUACCACCAAGAAAUCUUGGGCCAGAGACACAGCUGAUUACUGAGAAUGAAAAGCUGGAAGGCUUGGAAAAUGUCCUACCUGCUGCUAUAGGCGUAUCACAGCUCCUUCAGGACUGACCUUCCACUGCUGCCUUGUGUUUUUCCAGCCAAAAUCUC